rnacentral:tRNA from 1 species
UAGAUAAUAAUUUAAUAAAAAUAUUUUAUUUGCAAUAAAAAUUUAUUAUAAUUUUAAUUUAUCUUA